AAAGCCUCACCUAUGUCAUUGAAUGUUCGAAUCUGAGUACUAUCGAGCCCCAUAUACCAUUUCAAAGAAACACCAGUCAAAUUGUCCUGAAAGUAAUGGAUCAUCAAUUGAUGGUUUUCUAUCUGAGUCGACAUCUUACGAGCAUACAUCACCAGAUGACUUAGAGGACAAGAGUUUCCUUUAUACUUUUCGAAAUAUGGAACCUUGAACUUGUG
rnacentral:lncRNA from 1 species